GACAGAGGGUGCGAACGUUGUUCGGAAUUACUGGGCGUAAAGCGUGCGCAGGCGGCUUUGCAAGACAGAUGUGAAAUCCCCGGGCUCAACCUGGGAACUGCAUUUGUGACUGCAAGGCUAGAGUACGGUAGAGGGGGAUGGAAUUCCGCGUGUAGCAGUGAAAUGCGUAGAUAUGCGGAGGAACACCGAUGGCGAAGGCAAUCCCCUGGACCUGUACUGACGCUCAUGCACGAAAGCGUGGGGAGCAAACAGG
rnacentral:rRNA from 1 species